GUGUUGAAACAAUCUCUGUUG
rnacentral:miRNA from 1 species